rnacentral:rRNA from 1 species
UGGGGAAUCUUGCGCAAUGGGCGAAAGCCUGACGCAGCGACGCCGCGUGAGGGAGGAAGGCCUUCGGGUUGUAAACCUCUUUCAGGAGGGACGAAGCUACUCGGGUGAAUAGCCCAGAGGGUGACGGUACCUCCAGAAGAAGCCCCGGCUAACUACGUGCCAGCAGCCGCGGUAAUACGUAGGGGGCAAGCGUUGUCCGGAUUUACUGGGCGUAAAGAGCGUGUAGGCGGCCAAACAGGUCCGUUGUGAAAACUGGAGGCUUAACCUCCAGACGUCGACGGAAACCGUGUGGCCAGAGUCCGGAAGAGGAGAGUGGAAUUCCUGGUGUAGCGGUGAAAUGCGCAGAUAUCAGGAAGAACACCAAUGGCGAAGGCAGCUCUCUGGGACGGUACUGACCGCUGAGGACGCGAAAAGCGUGGGGAGCGAACAGGAUUAGAUACCCUGGUAGUCCACGCCGUAAAACGAUGGGUGCUAAGUGUGGGAGGUGUCGACUCCUUCCGUGCCGUAGCUAA